GUGUUUCCAAGAUCUCGAAGCUGGCUCUCAAUUUCCGUUUGCCAAUCGUGGGAGAAAGCAGAGACGUCUGUCUCGUUGGGAUCCAUCUCAGGAUGUAGCUGUCGAGAUAACAAAAUCAGCACGGCUCUGAAUUUCUUCUUCCGCCUCGUUAAUUCCAUCCGAACGUCUAAGGAUACUCUUGAUUUGCGAGAAAAAACCAGUUGGUGAAAAAUGUUAGCUAAACGUAAAGAAGCUAGUAAAGCCGAUCUCCACGGAACAGCUAGUGUAAGUAAGUGCUUACAUUUUUGUUUCCCUUCUCAUAUGGUGCUAAUGUUUAUUGAAGAAUUUGUUGCGUGUAGGUGAUCUGUGUGACUUGAUUGGUAUAAGCCCGUUAGGAAUUUGCAAUUGGGGGGGGGGGGGGGGGGGGGAUUUUGAAGAGUCCCAUUUUAAGUUUUGGAAUGUUCUUCUGUUUCUCGGCUAGAGGUCCGUAUGGUGAACAACAAUGGCGGAAAAAAAAACGCAACACCGCAAUCAGAUCAUGUUGUGACGUCACUACCACCUUCUAAGCCUCCAUCUCCACCAUAGCAACCUCAUUCACCUCCACCACAGCCUUUCAUGAGCGGGCUCCGACCUAAGAUGUGUAUUAUUGUUAUUCAUAGCCCACCUAAGAUCUGAAUGGGAGGAGUUACGAAGAAGGUGGGGAAAACAUCGUGCAUAUUGAGACUUGGUCAUGAAACUGGAGAUGUACAAACUGCUUUUCAUUUAUAUAAUCUCCAAUGUAAGUUCGAAUAGUGUACAUGUGGAUGAUGAGACCUAUGUACACUACUCAUUUAUACAAAUCUACAAUGUACAUGAUAAUACUGUACACAUGGAUAUGAAGACCUAUGUACACUAUUCAUUUAUCCAAUCAAUAAUGUAUGCACAAAUC